rnacentral:rRNA from 1 species
UGGGGAAUAUUGCACAAUGGGGGAAACCCUGAUGCAGCGACGCCGCGUGAGCGAAGAAGUAUUUCGGUAUGUAAAGCUCUAUCAGCAGGGAAGAUAGUGACGGUACCUGACUAAGAAGCUCCGGCUAACUACGUGCCAGCAGCCGCGGUAAAACGUAGGGUGCAAGCGUUGUCCGGAAUUACUGGGUGUAAAGGGAGCGCAGGCGGGAAGACAAGUUGGAAGUGAAAACCAUGGGCUCAACCCAUGAAUUGCUUUCAAAACUGUUUUUCUUGAGUAGUGCAGAGGUAGAUGGAAUUCCCGGUGUAGCGGUGGAAUGCGUAGAUAUCGGGAGGAACACCAGUGGCGAAGGCGGUCUACUGGGCACCAACUGACGCUGAGGCUCGAAAGCAUGGGUAGCAAACAGGAUUAGAUACCCUGGUAGUCCAUGCCGUAAACGAUGAUUACUAGGUGUUGGGGGAUUGACCCCCUCAGUGCCGCAGUUAACACAAUAAGUAAUCCACCUGGGGAGUACGACCGCAAGGUUGAAACUCAAAGGAAUUGACGGGGGCCCGCACAAGCAGUGGAGUAUGUGGUUUAAUUCGAAGCAACGCGAAGAACCUUACCAGGUCUUGACAUCCGAUGCAUAGCACAGAGAUGUGUGAAAUCCUUCGGGACAUCGAGACAGGUGGUGCAUGGUUGUCGUCAGCUCGUGUCGUGAGAUGUUGGGUUAAGUCCCGCAACGAGCGCAACCCUUAUUGCCAGUUACUACGUUAAGAGGACUCUGGCGAGACUGCCGUUGACAAAACGGAGGAAGGUGGGGAUGACGUCAAAUCAUCAUGCCCUUUAUGACCUGGGCUACACACGUACUACAAUGGCGUUAAACAAAGAGAAGCAAGACCGCGAGGUGGAGCAAAACUCAAAAACAACGUCUCAGUUCAGAUUGCAGGCUGCAACUCGCCUGCAUGAAGUCGGAAUUGCUAGUAAUCGCGGAUCAGCAUGCCGCGGUGAAUACGUUCCC